UAGGGAAUCUUCCACAAUGGGCGAAAGCCUGAUGGAGCAACGCCGCGUGUGUGAUGAAGGGUUCUGGCUCGUAAAACACUGUUGUAAGAGAAGAAUGACAUUGAGAGUAACUGUUCAAUGUGUGACGGUAUCUUACCAGAAAGGAACGGCUAAAUACGUGCCAG
rnacentral:rRNA from 1 species